ensembl:lncRNA
GUGACCUGUUUUUUCCUCCCAGAACUUUAUAUGCUUUUCUCUUGGAGGGCUCUGAAGACGGAUACGGGAACUCAGAAGUUGGCACUUUCAGCUCUGCCCUGGACACCAGCCUGAAGGAAAAUCCCAUAGAUUCUCUUGACAAGCAUGCAACCCUAUUCUUCCAAUUACCACUCCAGCAAGAUUAUUACAUUGUGUCCUGAUAUUCAAAUGCCUACUUUCUCUUGAGACUCCAAGGCCCCAGGGGCAAAGCCAUCCCAUCUACCAAUCCCCAUUUUUUCAUGAGGUCAGCCUUUUCCCUCUGCCCAUCAGUCUAGAUUCUAGCAUUCUCUCACUAUGACCUUUUCCUUGCAAAAACUUCUGCUCUUCACUUCCUCCACCUUAUUCAUCAGACCAGACCCCAGCAAUAAGUAAACUCUACUUUCUCUUUGUCUUAACUUGUACCUGAGCUCCUGAAUGUGUAAAGAAAAAAUGCAAGGGAGGUAUAGAACCACUUUAAAUUCAUGAGCUCCAGCUUCAAAUGGGCACUCAAAACUGCCCAGCAGGUCUUGUAUUUUUCUCUUGUUGACUUACUUCCCUAUUCCCCAAGAAUACAACUUUAUACCUUCUUUUUCUCUCCUGAAACUUCCUACCUUCCUUGCUCUAUCUCAGAUGAUGACUUCUCAUUUCAUGGAUAAAAUUGAAAAAUCAUCUUCACUUUACCAAACCUGCAAUCUUCAGUGGGGCCCAUUUUCUCCUUCUUUGCUCUGGUUAAAGUGGAAAAAAUGCCCAUCAGCCUAUCAAAGUCCAAUUUCUUCUACAUGCACCUGGGCUCUCAUCCCCUCAAAUACUGUCCUACUUUGGUUGUUCCCUCUUUCUACAUUAUCAGUUCCUCUCUUACUGGGUCAGGCCCACCACUAAAUAAACAUGUUCUAUUAUUGCCUGAAUUUAUUGAAAACAAAACAAAAAAGUAUCUACUGACUCUCUUUCUCUAUACUAUUUCUUGAGUUCACAGCCUAAGACAAAUAGAGUUGUCUGUAUGUACAUUGACCUCAGCUUUCCUGGUGGCUCAGUGAUAAAGAAUCCACCUGCCAAUGCAGGAAGUGUUGGGAAGAUCCC